GGUGGAAAAGGCCCUGAGAAAUCAAGAAAGCAGAAGAGUAUGUAUAGUGAAGCCUGCCUGGAUCUUGGCUUCAGUGUGCUUGUUCUAGAAGGGCAAUGAGAGAUGUGGAAGACCUGAGAGGAUGGCUAUGUGGCAAAAAGUGGUGCCCAACCACCCCACGGAGCCCUUGUGCAUUUGACCUUCAGAUCUCAGGAUCGUUGAUCGCAGGAGCCUCCUGGUUAAAAAAGGGAAAGACAAGAUGUUAUCAGCCUGGAUUUCGGGAGUCUCCUGAAAAAAAGAUGUUAUGAUCAGGGAUUUCAGGAGUUUCCUAAUUGAUAAAAGAUGUUAAUAUCAGGGAUAUCUGGAGUCUCCUGAUUGAAAAAAGUGUAGCCUGCCUGGAUCUUGGCUUUAGUGUGCAUGUUCUAGAAUGGCAAUGAGAGAUGUCGAAGACCUGAGAGGAUGGCAACGGAGGCAAAAAUUGGUGCCCAACCACCCCACGGAGCCCUUGUGCAUUUGACCUUCAGAUCUCAGGAUCGUUGAUCGCAGGAGCCUCCUGGUUAAGAAAGGGAAAGACAAGAUGUUAAUAUCAGGGAAAUCUGGAGUCUCCUGAUUGAAAAAAGUGUAGCCUGCCUGGAUCUUGGCUUUAGUGUGCAUGUUCUAGAAUGGCAAUGAGAGAUGUCGAAGACCUGAGAGGAUGGCAACGGAGGCAAAAAUUGGUGCCCAACCACCCCACGGAGCCCUUGUGCAUUUGACCUUCAGAUCUCAGGAUCGUUGAUCGCAGGAGCCUCCUGGUUAAGAAAGGGAAAGACAAGAUGUUAUGAUCAGGGAUUUCGGGAGUCUCCUAAUUGAUAAAAGAUGUUAUGAUCAGGGAUUUCAGGAGUCUCCUAAUUGAUAAAAGAUGUUAAUAUCAGGGAAAUCUGGAGUCUCCUGAUUAAAAAAAGGAUUAUCGUGUCAAACCUUCCCACGCCAGCUGUCUAAUUUAUCUAGAAAGAAAAUGAGGAUAGAGGAUCAUGUUUUUUCCACCAUUUGAGGUUUAAUAAUCUCUGUAUAUAAGGAGGUGACUGCUGGGCCAAGGCUGUGGGAUGAACUGGAAUUGUACCCAGGCAUACUCAGCUUUAGAAAAGAAGAUUUAGAUCUAGAAAAUAGAUUGAAGAAAAUGUAACAAUAUUGUAUCAUUAUUGUUAUAACAAUAAAAUGUUAUCAUUUAAAAAGGGGAGGGUUUAAUGAAAACUCCUGUAAUUAGAAAAUAGCCAUAAUUGGUUGUGCCACUACGGAAAAUAAAUACUUAAAUAUACAUAAAUAAAGACUCUUUACGUGUUAAAUAUUA